rnacentral:rRNA from 1 species
GACGAACGCUGGCGGCGUGCUUAACACAUGCAAGUCGAACGGUGAAGCGCCUUCCUUUUUGGUGGGUGUGGAUGAGUGGCGAACGGGUGAGUAACACGUGAGUAACCUGCCCCCUUCUUCUGGAUAACCGCAUGAAAGUGUGGCUAAUACGGGAUAUUCUGGGUCUGUCGCAUGAUGGGUCUGGGAAAGAUAUUGUUUCGGUGGGUGAUGGGCUCGCGGCCUAUCAGCUUGUUGGUGGGGUGAUGGCCUACCAAGGCGGUGACGGGUAGCCGGCCUGAGAGGGUGGACGGUCACACUGGGACUGAGACACGGCCCAGACUCCUACGGGAGGCAGCAGUGGGGAAUAUUGCACAAUGGGCGCAAGCCUGAUGCAGCGACGCCGCGUGAGGGAUGGAGGCCUUCGGGUUGUGAACCUCUUUCGCCAGUGAAGCAGGCCUGCCUCGUUUGUGGGUGGGUUGACGGUAGCUGGAUAAGAAGCGCCGGCUAACUACGUG